rnacentral:lncRNA from 1 species
UAGGAAGUCUUGUUUAAUUUGUUUGGAACCCUCUUCCUCUUUCUUUUGCUCACUAAUCCCUGGUCCGUUUUCACUUUUCUGCUUGAACAUGACUGCUUCAGGGAGGCCUUACUUGCCUGACUGCCCAGACUAAGAAGGAUAUCGCGUUGUGCACUCUUAAGGUAUGUGGUGCUUUUUGUAGUCAUCUGCCUAAUAGCAAUUGUUUAAUUAAUUACUUGCUCACCUCCUCCCACCCCAGUAGAUUGUAAGGCUCAUGAGGGCACAACUAUGGCUUUCUUGUUCAGUUCUGUAUCUUCAGGCUUGGCUCCCUGUGUGUACAAGAAAUACUCAUUGUCUGGGUGGCUGGAGAGCCUCAAAUAUCAGCCUGAGUAGGAUCUUGAUCCUGUGAGCAAUAGAGUGCUGAAGGUUGUCCCCAGUAUGAUGAUGACUUGAUCAAAUUUUGGGUUUAGGAAGAUUGGCUGGGGAGCUUCAUGUAGGAUUGGAUGGAGGCAGGUGGUA